UGGAAGCCUGGAUUGGAUUGUAAGAGGGAAACCAUGGUUGCGAUUUACUUAAGAAUCUGUUGAUUCCUCUAAGAAACCUUUGCUUUUCUGGGACAGUGGAUGUUAAUCAUCUGGGACUGAAGAAUCAUCCGUGAUCAAUAAGAGACCAGCAUCACUUCUUGGAAGUGUUUCCUCAGGGUCAGCGUACAGAAGCUGUAUUCCGGAGGAAGCCAAGGCUAUAUCAUGCUGGUAGCCAAACCCAGUAAUGUGAAAGAGAUGUUCUGGCAUUGCAGGCAUGGAAGGGUCAUGGAAAGCAGUUGAGGCUUAGUGCCAUGUAGCAUGGUUGGAAUCCCUGAGGAGAAGCCAGAUCACUGACAGUGCAUCCUCAGUUGUAACGAGCAGACUAAAGAGGGCAGGCCCAUGGAGUAACCAUCAUGAACAGUAGCUGGUAUCAGGUAAUGCCAGCCUGAGCCUGUAAGACAACCUGCAUAUGCUGCUACUGGCGGAACCAGAGAGAUAAGUCCCAAAUGUCAGACACUGAGCUAUUUAUAACAGCUGGAUUUUGGUUUUACUUUGUUCCAGUUGUAACUGUCAUGGUUUAUCCCUCUAGAAAUUAAGUAUUUAACUUCUUAUUUUAUAGGAACCUAGAGUUAAGAGACCUAGAACUUUUUAAAUAUUUGAAAUUUUUUUAAAGACUAAGUCUUUAAACCAUGUGGUAGUGGCACACUUCUAUAAUUCCAGUAAUUGGGAGGCAAAGGCAGGUGAUUUCUUAGUUUGAGAGAGUUCCAGGACAGCCAGGGCUACAAAGGGAAACCAUGUCUCAACCACAGGGUAGCUGGAGUCAGGUCUCUACAGUUCUCUGUGCUAGGACUCAAACUCGGCCACCAGGCUUAUAUUUACCCACAGAACAAUCUCAUCGGCCUUGACCUGUAGAAAUUCUUAACAGUGAGUGUAUCUAAGUUGUACUCCUAAUUCUAGUACCUAGAGAGCCUGUGUUCUACUGCUUGGGCUUUUCCUGCUGGUUAUUGUCUGUCAUCUGUUUAGUAUGGGGGCUUUGGUGGGAUGAGCAUUAUAUUAAGAAGCUGUGUGGUUCAGUAUAGGCCAUUGUUGUGAUUUUGCUUUUCAGAAGAUUAUCUGCCAGAGAACUAGGGGAAUUUAAAAAGCCAGACUCCAAACCCAGUUGAAGGGCUGAAUGUUGUAUACAAAGCUGGCCUGCCAUCAUUGCUCCCAAGUUGAAGUUGUACAAGGACCUCAGCCAGAUGUGGAAAUACAAACAUUGUUGCUCAUCCCACAAAGGCCUACUGAGGGCAGCGCUGCACCUCCACCCGUCAGUGUGUCUUCCAGAGGGGGUUGAAGUACACCCAGCCAUCACCCUGCAAGAGAAGAAGGAGGUUUGACAGUAGGAUCUCACAGCUGAGAAUUGAAAAGCAAGGACCCCUCCCAGCCAGCCAGUAACCUCUCCUUCCGUUGGAGACCUGGUUUCCCAGCUUCUAAGGAUGGAGACAUGGUCUGUGGCUUGGGUGCCCAGGAUUCCAGGAGCUGAGAAAUGGGGGCCACCACAAUGCCUGUGCCUGUAGAGCAUUACACCAUAAAGUGUGUCUUCUGCAUUACAUCAGACUGCCCAUAAACGGUGAGUAGGGAUGGCCCCAAAGCCUACCCUAUGAAGUGGGGGGGAAGAGGUGUCUUUUCAAGCAAGAACUGAUCACUCUGUCUUGAUGGUCAACUCAUCUACUGAAAUGCCAUCUUUUUUAGGGUAGAGACAACCAGGGGAUUGAACCAGGUCUUUGUGUAUGUCAGGCAAACACUACCAGUAAGGUGCAUCCCCAGCCCUUGACUUUUGGAGACAGGGUCUCGCUGUUAUCUGAGCUAGCCUGUAGUUUGCGGUGUAGCCCGGACUGGACCGGAACUUGAGAUUUUCUUGGCUCUGCCUCCAGAGGACUUGACUUACAUGGCAUUCUGCCUGACUAGAACUCAAUGUUUUUUAAGUGACAAGAACGCAUGGAUCAUCAAGCUAGCCUAGUACUCAAGGAUUACCUUGAACUUCUGAUUCUCCUGCUUUUGCCUCCCAACUGCUGGGAUUACUGAUGUGCCAACCAAGUCUCCUUUCUGAAAGGGUGAGGGGACUCGGGCACAAAGAGAAAUACAGCCAGAGUCCUGGC